CGGGGCCGGUGGAUCGGCGGGGUCCGGGCGGGAAGGUCCCGCCGGCCCCGGGGAGGGACGGGCUCCGGCGCUCAGCCGCCGGGGCCCCGG
rnacentral:tRNA from 1 species